UUUAGUGUUAAUAACAUUUUUAUUUUUUUAUUUUGAAGCAGCCAAACCUUUUGUUAACCAAGCUACUAUCAAGCACUAUAUAAAAAAUUGAAAGAUUUAUAAAGGCGAGGAGAAGGGGGAAUGACCCCUCUUAUUUGACAAAGGAUGCAACACUAAUGUAACUUUUGACCGAACAGUCUUACUGGAGCACGAUCAAAGGCCAAAAGAGCAGAGGACACCUCCAACCUGAAUACAGCCGAAAAAAAUGCAUUGAAACGUGUUAAAAGAUGUAAAAUGAUUAGUUCUUCUGAGAAUGAAGAAGAAGAUUACGAUCAGAUUAUACCAAGUAAAAAGAAAACUUGGCACAAAAAAAAGAAUACCCCAUGCUUUUUGUGUUACUCAAGUAGACAAACCUACUCCAUCUUUCAUUCACAAAGAGACUCAUUCAAUGAGAGAAAAUUUGCUGAAUCUUUAUGAAAGUGAUUGAGUUGAGCAAUUGUGAAUCUAAUGUUUUACCAGCUGCAACACUAGACUUUGAAAUAGAGAAAUGUAACAGUUCAAUAUCAAAAUAUUCCCGAUCCAAAAGUAUAUUGAUAGAUUCUGCCUCUGUUCAAAACAAAUUAUCACCUGUUCAAACAAAUAAUCAUAUAUUAUUAACAGUGAGUCUGUAAAUCUACAGAUGAUUGCUAAUUUAUUAGCAACUGUUAUUAGCAAUCAGGAAGAUAUGAAAAAGACUCAAGCAAUCCAUACAGCACAAAUUCAAUCAAUUUGUCUGAAACUUGAUUUAAAUGAUCAUAUCUCUGCAUAUCUUCCAGAAGGUAUUCCAUUACCAGCUAAGUCAAUGGAAGAAAUAGAUAUUGUAACACAGAAGCUGGAAAAUCACGGAAUAAAGAAAAUAGUUGCCAAACAUAUUGUUGAUAUUGGUAGAGAAGAUUUAAGAAAUUUUAUUAUGAGGUCAAUGCCCAUGCUGCUAGACAGCCUUGUUGCUCAUAGCUUCAAUUUGACCGGACAAAAAAGAAAACAUGCUUUUAAAACAAAUGCAGUUCAUUUAGUUCUUUGUAGUGGAGGUGGUAGAGGAGGAAAACAUUUGAUACUUUUGUUUCCAGCCUUCAAUCAUCACAACUUUUUGCUAAAUAUUCUUAUUUGACAUAAACGCAAAUUCAAUUUGUUUUUGGAGUUAUGCCAGAAAGUGUCAUAGAGGUCGUCCGUUAAUUACAUCUCGUAAUUUUUGACAUUAAUCCUCCAUCAGUGUUUCCAAAUAUCUCUAAAAGUUGUCCACCACCAAAAAUUUGAAAACCUUCAUCUACUUCUUCAAAAAGAGGUAUCGAAAAAGAUGAAUUGGAAAAGUGUAAAAUAAUUAAUAAUUUAAAAUUUGAAGAUAUUGAAAAAUACUUAUCUACUGAAGAAAAAUACUUAUCUACUGAAAAUGAUAAAGUCACUUACAAGCAAAACAAUUCUAUUUUUAUCCAGUCUAAAGUUUUUAAUUGGAGAGUUACACUAUUUUUGCUGAUAGUUAAUCAAAGUUAAAAAAAACAGAAUAACUUCAUUUAAUACAAAGUCAGCUUUAAAUGAAGCUCUUAGAAAUCUAAAAGUUAAAGAUGAGGAUCAUAAAACCCAAAUAUUAUUUCAGCAUCU
rnacentral:lncRNA from 1 species